UCAUAAUUAAGUUCAAGGGAAGGUACUAUGACUGGACGUGCACGUAAGCCAGAUUUAUGUUUCUCUCCACCCAAACAUCUCAGUGGAGUAAAGAAAAACAAGGCAGCAUUGCUGUAAACAUGUCUUGCCUCCCACCACAGGACGGUUUUUCUCUCAUCUCAGAAUUGAACAAAUGUACAAUCGGGUUUUAUACCGAGACAUUCAGUUCCCAGGGGCAGGUAGGAGACAGUGGCCUUCCUCUAUCUCAACUGCAAGAGGCUUUCCUCUUUUACUAAUCCACCUCAGCACAGACUCUUUAUGGGUGUUGGGCUGGGGGACAGUCAGGUCUUUCUCAUCCCACGAGGCCAUAGUUCAGACUAUCACAUGGGGAGAAACCUUGGACAAUACCCCGCUUUCAAGGGCAGAGGUCCCUGCGGCUUUCCGCAGUGCAUUGUGCCCCUGGUUUAUUGAGACUAGAGAAUGGCAAUGACUUUUACCAAGUAUACUGCUCGUAAACAUCUUGUUAACAAGGCACGUCCUACACAGCCCUGGAUCCCUUAAACCUUGAUUUCAUACAACACAUGUUUUUGUGAACUCCAGGUUGGGUCAAAGUGGCUGGGGCAAAGCUACAAAUUAACAUCUCAGCAAAGCAAUUGUGCAAAGUACAGGUCUUUUUCAAAAUGGAGUCUCUUAUGUCUUUCCUUUCUACAUAGACACAGUAACAGUCUGAUCUCUCUUUCUUUUCCCUACAGGCAUUAGCACACGUGAGUUUGAAAAAAUUUUCAUAACUGGGUACUAAUAUGUGUCUGCUGGAAAGAAAUACUCCAAAUUUUUUAUUGUGAUGAAAACCACAUACCAUAAAAUUUACCAUCGUAAUCAUUUUUUUUUUCUUUUUGAGAUGGAGUCUUGCUCUUGUUGCCCAGGUUGGAGUGCAGUGGAGCGAUCUCGGUUCACUGAAACUUCUGCCUCCCAGAUUCAAGCAAUUGUCCUGCCUCAGCCUCCUGAGUAGCUGGGAUUACAGGCACCCACCACCACGCCUGGCUAAUUUUUUUUGUACUUUUAGUAGAGACAGGGUUUCGCCAUGUUGGCCAGGCUGGUCUUGAACUCCUGACCUCAGUUGAUGCACUCCCCUAGGCCUCCCAAAGUGUUGGGAUUACAGGUGUGAGCCACUGUGCCUGGCCCAUCUUAAUCAUUUUUAAGUGUACAGUUUAGUAGUGUUCAGUGUAUUCACAUUAUUGUGAAACAUCUCUAGAAUUUCAUCUUGCAAAUAUGAAGCUCUAUACCCAUUAAACAACAAUUCUUCUUUUUCCUUUUCCCUCAGCCACCAUUCUACUUUCUGUCUCUACUAGUGUGACUACCCUAGAUACCUCAUAUAAGUAGAAUCAUACAGUAUUUGUCUUUUUGCCUCAAAGUUUUAACAUUGCUAACAUCUAGGUUCUGUCAUGUUUGUUUUCUUUACCUAUCUCUGUGCUUUCAUAAACGAGCAUUUACUUUUUUAUAACAAGUAAAAAACACAAAAUACAACAUUAGCUUUUAUUUUUGAGUCGUUGAAUAUGGCUGGUAUAAUAAACCUGUUGUGUAGUGCCUAUUACAAAUGCCUCUUUACAAAUGGAAAAAUAAGACUAAGAAAAAUUAAGUAAUUUGACUAAGAUCACAAAGGUAGGGUGUGAUCAAGCUGGGAUUUGAAUGUAAUUUUUAACGAUUCUUGAGCUCAAGCUCUUUAUCACUCUGCUAUGAAUGCUUAAGAUCUGGGAACAAUUUAAUAUUGAGUGAAAAACAAUUCCAUCCCACUUUGUAGGGAUGAUGUAGUUCUGAAUAAGGUCAUAUAUGUAGAUGUAUAUAGAGUGUGUUGACAUACACAAUCAAUUAAGAAGGGAUGACAUAAAAUGCAGGGUCUUUGGAUAAUUGAUUAGAAAUUUGCAAAGCAGAAAUGUUUAGGCUGGGUGAGGUGGCUCACGCCUGUAAUCCCAGCACUUUGGGAGGCUGAGGCAGGUGAUUGCCUGAGCUCAGGAGUUUGAGACCAGCCUGGGAAACAUGGCAAAACCCCGUCCUACAAAAAAUACAAAAAUUAGCCAGGUGUGGUGGUAUGUGCCUGUAGUCUCAGCUACUCAGGGGGUUGAGGUGGGAGGAUCGCUUGAGCCCAGAAAGUUGAGGCCGCAGUGAGCCAUGAUCAUGACGCUGCACUCCAGCCUGAGCAACAUAGUGAGACUUUGUCUCAACAAACAAACAAAAACAACCAAACCAAAUUAACACAGAAAUACCCUUUUAUCUUAAAGUAUAUCAGCUAUGAUUCUCAAAGGUAUACGAUUCUCAAAUAUUGGUCCACUUGCACAGAAAAGAAAAAGGAAACAAAAAAUAUUUCCUCACAUAUAAAAUGUAGGUAGGAAAGUAUAUGGAUUACAU
rnacentral:lncRNA from 1 species